CGGCGGGAGUACGGCUUCAGGCCAGAGCCGAGAGGCGCUGGCGGCGGCUGGACCGCGAGGUGGGCUCGGUGGGCGGCGCCGAGCUCGGCUGUGCUAGGAGGCGCGGACAGCCCGGGGCUGCCACCUGCGCCACCGGGUCCCGGCGCACAAAGCUACACGCCUCUCUGCAGCCCUCUGCCCUGCUUCGCGUUCCGGA
ensembl:misc_RNA